ensembl:snoRNA small nucleolar RNA SNORA5
CGCAGUCAGGUCCAAUUCAGUGUACUCGUUUCAGUGGACGACACUGGCCAAAAUGGCAGCCAAAGGAAAUGUAGCUGAUGGGCCCCACAUCCUCCUGUGGACACUGGGGAUAAAUCUGUGAUUACAAAUACCA